CGGGUGAGUAACGCGUAUCCUAACCUUCCCCUUAGUAGGGCAUACGCCCGGCGAAAGUCGGAUUAAUACCCUAUGUUGUUUGAUGCGGACAUCUAAAUCAAACCAAAGAUUCAUCGCUAAGGGAUGGGGAUGCGUCCGAUUAGCUUGCCGGCGGGGUAACGGCCCACCGGGGCUUCGAUCGGUAGGGGUUCUGAGAGGAAGGUCCCCCACACUGGAACUGAGACACGGUCCAGACUCCUACGGGAGGCAGCAGUGAGGAAUAUUGGUCAAUGGGCGUAAGCCUGAACCAGCCAAGUAGCGUGCAGGAUGACGGCCCUAUGGGUUGUAAACUGCUUUUGCACGGGAAUAAAGUUCGGCACGCGUGCCGUUUUGCAUGUACCGUGAGAAUAAGGACCGGCUAAUUCCGUGCC
rnacentral:rRNA from 1 species